AUUGAACGCUGGCGGCAGGCCUAACACAUGCAGGUCGAACGGUAACAGGAAACAGCUUGCUGUUUCGCUGACGAGUGGCGGACGGGUGAGUAAUGUCUGGGAAACUGCCUGAUGGAGGGGGAUAACUACUGGAAACGGUAGCUAAUACCGCAUAACGUCGCAAGACCAAAGAGGGGGACCUUCGGGCCUCUUGCCAUCGGAUGUGCCCAGAUGGGAUUAGCUGGUUGGUGGGGUAACGGCUCACCAAGGCGACGAUCCCUAGCUGGUCUGAGAGGAUGACCAGCCACACUGGAACUGAGACACGGUCCAGACUCCUACGGGAGGCAGCAGUGGGGAAUAUUGCACAAUGGGCGCAAGCCUGAUGCAGCCAUGCCGCGUGUAUGAAGAAGGCCUUCGGGUUGUAAAGCACUUUCAGCGGGGAGGAAGGGAGUAAAGUUAAUACCUUUACUCAUUGACGUUACCCGCAGAAGAAGCACCGGCUAACUCCGUGCCAGCAGCCGCCGUAA
rnacentral:rRNA from 1 species